rnacentral:rRNA from 1 species
UACGUAGGGGGCAAGCGUUGUCCGGAAUCAUUGGGCGUAGAGCGCGUGUAGGCGGCCCGAUAAGUCCGCUGUGAAAGUCCAGGGCUCAACCCUGGGAUGCCGGUGGAUACUGUCGGGCUCGAGUCCGGAAGAGGCGAGUGGAAUUCCUGGUGUAGCGGUGAAAUGCGCAGAUAUCAGGAGGAACACCAAUGGCGAAGGCAGCUCGCUGGGACGUGACUGACGCUGAGACGCGAAAGCGUGGGGAGCAAACAGG